rnacentral:rRNA from 1 species
AUUGAACGCUGGCGGCAUGCCUAACACAUGCAAGUCGAACGAGUGGCGGACGGGUGAGUAAUGUCUGGGCCACUUCCCGAUGGAGGGGUAUAACUACUGGAAACGGUAGCUAAUACCGCAUACCAUCGGAUGUGCCCAGUUGGGAUUAGGUAGUUGGUGGGGUAACGGCUCACCUAGGCGACGAUCCCUAGCUGGUCUGAGAGGAUGACCGGCCACACUGGGACUGAGACACGGUCCAGACUCCUACGGGAGGCAGCAGUGGGGAAUAUUGCACAAUGGGCGAAAGCCUGAUGCAGCCAUGCCGCGUGUAGGAGGAAGGCCUUCGGGUUGUAAAGUACUUUCAGCGAGGAGGCGGUACUCGCAGAAGAAGCACCGGCUAACUCCGUGCCAGCAGCCGCGGUAAUAC